rnacentral:rRNA from 1 species
ACAGAGAUGGCGAGCGUUACUCGGAUUUAUUGGGUGUAAAGGGCAGGUAGGUGUUUUGCCAAGUUGUAAGUGAAAUCCUAAGGCUCAACCUUAGAACUGCUUACAAAACUGGGGAAAUUGAGAUUGGUAGAGGAAAGCGGAAUUCCCGGUGUGAGGGUGAAAUCUGUAGAUAGCGGGAGGAACGCCAGUGGCGAAAGCGGCAACCUGGAUCAAUUUUGACACGAUGCUGAGAGAGCGCGGCGAUCAAAUAG